UGGGGAAUAUUGCACAAUGGGCGCAAGCCUGAUGCAGCCAUGCCGCGUGCGUGAAGAAGGCCUUCGGGUUGUAAAGCACUUUCAGCGAGGAGGAAGGUGGUGAGCUUAAUACGCUCAUCAAUUGACGUUACUCGCAGAAGAAGCACCGGCUAACUCCGUGCCAGCAGCCGCGGUAAUACGGAGGGUGCAAGCGUUAAUCGGAAUUACUGGGCGUAAAGCGCACGCAGGCGGUUUGUUAAGUCAGAUGUGAAAUCCCCGGGCUCAACCUGGGAACUGCAUUUGAAACUGGCAAGCUAGAGUCUCGUAGAGGGGGGUAGAAUUCCAGGUGUAGCGGUGAAAUGCGUAGAGAUCUGGAGGAAUACCGGUGGCGAAGGCGGCCCCCUGGACGAAGACUGACGCUCAGGUGCGAAAGCGUGGGGCAGCAAACAGGAUUAGAUACCCUGGUAGUCCACGCUGUAAACGAUGUCGAUUUUGGAGGUUGUGCCCUUGAGGCGUGGCUUCCGGAGCUAACGCGUUAAAUCGACCGCCUGGGGAGUACGGCCGCAAGG
rnacentral:rRNA from 1 species